rnacentral:rRNA from 1 species
GACGAACGCUGGCGGCGUGCUUAACACAUGCAAGUCGAACGGAAAGGCCCUGCUUUUGUGGGGUGCUCGAGUGGCGAACGGGUGAGUAACACGUGAGUAACCUGACCAUGACUUUGGGAUAACUUCAGGAAACUGGGGCUAAUACCGGAUAGGAGCUCCUGCUGCAUGGUGGGGGUUGGAAAGUUUCGGCGGUUGGGGAUGGACUCGCGGCUUAUCAGCUUGUUGGUGGGGUAGUGGCUUACCAAGGCUUUGACGGGUAGCCGGCCGGAGAGGGUGACCGGCCACAAUGGGACUGAGAUACGGCCCAGACGCCUACGGGAGGCAGCAGUGGGGAAUAUUGCACAAUGGGCGGAAGCCUGAUGCAGCAACGCCGCGUGCGGGAUGACGGCCUUCGGGUUGUAAACCGCUUUCGCCUGUGACGAAGCGUGAGUGACGGUAAUGGGUAAAGAAGCACCGGCUAACUACGUG